rnacentral:lncRNA from 1 species
AAGGUUUAAGCUUUUCGAUAGCUUAUUUUUCUUGUUCAUCAGGAUCCCUUUGUCAAUCCUUUCAACAUGAUUACUCUUCAAGGGUGUAUCAUCGGCCACCAAAAAGGUAUUUUAUCCUUCCUUUCUAAUCUUACUUUCUGGUUUAUCGAUUUUUCCCUUCUCUUACCUUGGUUCAAAUCCUAAUGACGACCAAGGACAAGAUGAGUGUAGUUCAAAUCCAAUGAUGUCCAAGGACACCAAAAGAUCAUCCGAAUAAGCAUUUUGAAGAGCCUGAAGCAUUUUACAUAAAAAAAGUCUUCAAUCCUAGAGAUAGGUUCACUGUUUCAUGGUCCAACACACCACCACCCCUACCACCCCUAUUCAACAAGUACCUCCUCCUCCAAACAUAUCUAAACUAAAGUGGAAUGGUAGAAGCGGUUUUGCAGCAGGACGAAAUGUCUUCGCAAGGGUCCAGGGCUCACAUUUCCCAUUCCCAUUAACAGAUUUACAACAGGAUAUCCCUAUUGCUGAGUGAUAUGUCAAGAGACUAUCUAGGACUCAACGGUCAAUUUGUGCAAGAUUUCUUUGAUUUGCUUUUGUUUUCUGAAAUAUAUGUUUUAUCUCUAAUUUGUAGUAGGUAUAACUUUUAAUCUUGUGUUAAUUAUGAAUAAUUCAUGAAUUAGUAAGAAACGACAAAAUACGAAAUACUUAACUGACUUAAGUAAAUUUUUAG